GGAAAGGUGCUCGAGUGGUUGAAGAGGCACGCCUGGAAAGCGUGUAAACGCCUAAAGCGUUUCGGGGGUUCGAAUCCCCCUCUCUCCGCAA
rnacentral:tRNA from 1 species